GACGAACGCUGGCGGCGUGCUUAACACAUGCAAGUCGAACGGUGAAGCGCCUUCCUUUUUGGUGGGUGUGGAUGAGUGGCGAACGGGUGAGUAACACGUGAGUAACCUGCCCCCUUCUUCUGGAUAACCGCAUGAAAGUGUGGCUAAUACGGGAUAUUCUGGGUCUGUCGCAUGAUGGGUCUGGGAAAGAUAUUGUUUCGGUGGGGGAUGGGCUCGCGGCCUAUCAGCUUGUUGGCGGGGUGAUGGCCUACCAAGGCGGUGACGGGUAGCCGGCCUGAGAGGGUGGGGGUUCAAACGGGGAAGGAGACACGGCCCAGAACCCUCGGGGGGGCAGCGGUGGGGAAUAUUGCAAAAUGGGCGAAAGCCGGAUGCAGCGACCCCGGGGGGGGGAGGGGGGCCUUGGGGUUGUGACCCCCCUUCGCCAGGGAAGCGGGCCUGCCUUUUUUGGGGGGGGGUUGAGGGUAGCUGGAUAAGAAGCCCCGGCUAAUUAAGG
rnacentral:rRNA from 1 species